UACGAAGGGAGCUAGCGUUGUUCGGAAUCACUGGGCGUAAAGCGCACGUAGGCGGAUUGCUAAGUCAGGGGUGAAAUCCUGGAGCUCAACUCCAGAACUGCCUUUGAUACUGGCGACCUUGAGUCCGGGAGAGGUGAUGUGGAACUGCGAGUGUAGAGGUGAAAUUCGUAGAUAUUCGCAAGAACACCCAGUGGCGAAGGCGGGUC
rnacentral:rRNA from 1 species